rnacentral:rRNA from 1 species
UUUAUUGGAGAGUUUGAUCCUGGCUCAGGACGAACGCUGGCGGCGUGCCUAAUACAUGCAAGUCGAGCGGAUCUCUUCGGAGAUUAGCGGCGGACGGGUGAGUAACACGUGGGCAACCUGCCUGUAAGACUGGGAUAA